GACCGCACGGGAUAAUCGAUUAUCCCGUGCAGCCCAAUUAACCCGACCGCACAGGAAAAUGAUUAUCCCGUGCGGUU
rnacentral:pre_miRNA from 13 species